UCGGCUUUUACUUUUGAUUUCUAAGAUACCCUGUUCUGGGUUGUGCUUUUCGAUGUAUCUGAAAAGAUAACCAGGUUCUUCGAUGACAGAGCAAUGAUGUCCCUGGCCUCCCUCUUUUCAGAAUUGCUCCAAAACAGCAAAGAGAAUGAGAAACAAAAGCACAGGCCCUGUAUUCCUCAAGGGCAGGAGACAUCUGUAAUCUGGAACCACAAUAUAUGGAGAUGAGAAACAGAUGGAGGAAUGAACACAGGGAUGUCCCGGGCGUUGGCCCACGAAGGCAGUGGCUGGGAGUGAGCGUGGCCCUGAAGGCCGUCCCUGCAGCAGAAACGUAAUAACACUGGUUACCGUCACGGUGUGCUUGCUGGUGCCCGGCUCCUCACAUUCUCUCUUGCAGUCCUCAGGAGAGCAAAAGCUGCAACAGUCUUUACCUACAAGCAAAGGCUAUUCAGAAAAGUGUGGAAUUCUUGUUGGCACUGAACACAUCGGAGUCAUGGGUUCCUUGCCUCCUACACUGACAUAUCCAGCGAUCAGGACCAGUUCAAACUAACUUCUGCCCGUGCUACUGACAGGUAAAUUGAAUUGGCGGCUAUCCCUUCAUUCAAUAAAUAUUCACGAGCAUGCACCAUAUAGUUCAGCACAGUCCUAAGUGGCAGAGUACUGGACGUUGAAUGGGGCGGUGAAUAGACAGGGUGUCUGCUCCGUGGACUCUGGUUCUGGUAUCUGCGCAGAUGUUCACUUCCUUUAUUGGCUGAUGCUGCUUCCAAGCCCAGGGAUCAGGAAACUACGACCUGGAGGUCAAAUGCAGCCCACCACGUGUUUUUGUACAGCCCUUGAGUUAAGCUGGUUUUUGUUUUUGUUUUCAUUUUUUA